CAUUUGUAUAAUUGUAUUGUAUCAAAAAAGAAAAAGUAAAAAACAAAGGUUCAAAACGACAAAACCAAAAAGUUAGAAGAACAGAUAAGGAGCAUCCUAUGAAGUAUGAACAAUCAACGGCACAAUUUUCGAAACUUUCUAACGCUUGCCGCUGCCACUAGGGUUCUCCCAAAAAAUCAAAGCAGCUGUUACCUGCGACUCCUGUCCUCGGCGAGUCCUCACCUCGGCAAGACCUCAAGUCUUCAACAUCUUGCUGGCAGGGGCGGAUUUGCCCUAUCCCUCUCUGUUCUCUCCGUCUCUCUGUGACUGGAUUUUUCAAGAAAGCAGCAACUUCUUCUCAGGUUAUGGAUGAUAAAUUUGUAUCAGAGCUUUCUGUCCCCGAAAAUGUUACCAAAACAUUAUUACUUGUGUCAAACUCAGCUUCUUUAGAAAAGGCACUUGAGAAGCUGAUAGAAAUUGCCAAAGUUCCUGAUAGAAGGUUUGAUCUGUCCACUAAGAACGUUGUCACCGCUGUUCUCCAACUCUGUCGGUCUCUGUCAUCUCCCUCUUGGCGUUACCUCCUUUUAUUGUCUCUUAAGGCACUUAGAAACAUGUGUGCUGGGGGGAUAAGAAAUCAAAAUGCCUUUUCUUGAACAAAGAGGAGUUGAAACAGUCAUGGAUGUUAUUACCUCUGUAGGACAUACCAUUGAUCCUGAUUGUGAGCAAUUAUCCGAGUGGGGCUGCAACUUCUGGGAAACUACUCAGUAGCUGGGAGAGAACACCAAUGUGAUGUGUGGUACCAAUUGUUUCCUCAUAUUUUCUUGAAGAUUGCUGGAGUUAGUAGCAGAGAAAUAUGUGAUCCUCUAUGUAUGGUCAUUUACACUUGCUGUGAAGGUACUGAUGGACUGCUAACAGAGUUAAGUUCGGAGCAAGGGUUGCCGAUUCUUAAAGAAAUCAUAUGUACUUCAUCAGCCGUUGGUCUCAGAGAAGAUUGGUUGAAGUUGCUUCUUUCAAAAAUUUGCAUCGAAGGCUCCUACUUUUCAUCAAUUUUCUUCAAGUUACAUUCACAUCCUUGUGUUGAGAACAAUGAUAUUAUUACACAUUUGGCUUACCAUUGUUAGUGAGCAAGCUCAUCUGUUGAGUAUCCUUUCAGAAAUCUUGAAUGAGCAAUUAGAGCAUAUUGUUGUUUCACAUGUUUUUGCUUUAAGUAUCUUUGGGAUAUUGAAGAGCGCUGCAGUGGUUGUUGACUUUUCUAACAGGGAAAGAUGAUCUUCCGACGGGGUCUGCUCCUACUGAUGUUCUAGGAUACUCACUCGUGAUCUUGAGAGAUAUUUGCGCUUGUGGUCACCUGGCAAGCUCUAGGGAGGAAGGUCCUAAGGAUGUCGUGGAUAUAUUAGUUUCCUCUGUGCAUAUUGAACUUCUUUUGGACUUACUUCGAAAUCGUGAACCACCAACGAGAAUUAGGAAAGCAAUGACACAGGAUCAGAUCAAGGAGGCGGCAACAUCUUCGUCAUUGAGGUGUUGUCCUUGCAAAGGUUUCCGGAGAGAUAUUGUUGCCGUCCUUGGAAACUGUGCUUAUAGGAGAAGGCACAUCCAAGAUGAGAUCAGAGAUAAAAAAUGGGAUCCUUUUACUGCUACAACAGUGUGUUACAGAUGAUGAUAAUCCUUUCUCAAGAGCGUGCGAAACCUAUUGGAAGGAAGUGCAGAAAACCAAGGAGCUAUUGCUGAUUUAGAGCUUCAAGGAACUGCAGAUGUUCCGGAGCUUGCUCGACUUGGGAUUCAAGUAGAAGUUGACCCCAAAACUAGACGUGCAAAGCUAAUAAAUGUCGCGUGAACUGAUUCACAUGUUCAGGAACGUGCCAUAAAAGGUACAAUGCAUGAUUUCAUCUUAUGUUAUGUUACCUAGUCAUAGAAGAAGAAAAAUCGAUACAAAAUGCCUUCGGGAGGAUUUUUAAUUUAUUGCUGUGUAUUAGUAGCCAAUAUAGAACCAAAAGAUCUCUGUCUAGAGUGUAGUAUAGGUGCUAGUAUUUAUGUUCUCUUAAGGUUUA